CCUUCCCCUUCGGGGGACAAAGUGACAGGUGGUGCAUGGUUGUCGUCAGCUCGUGUCGUGAGAUGUUGGGUUAAGUCCCGCAACGAGCGCAACCCUUAAGCUUAGUUGCCAUCAUUAAGUUGGGCACUCUAAGUUGACUGCCGGUGACAAACCGGAGGAAGGUGGGGAUGACGUCAAAUCAUCAUGCCCCUUAUGAUUUGGGCUACACACGUGCUACAAUGGACAAUACAAAGGGCAGCGAAACCGCGAGGUCAAGCAAAUCCCAUAAAGUUGUUCUCAGUUCGGAUUGUAGUCUGCAACUCGACUACAUGAAGCUGGAAUCGCUAGUAAUCGUAGAUCAGCAUGCUACGGUGAAUACGUUCCCGGGUCUUGUACACACCGCCCGUCACACCACGAGAGUUUGUAACACCCGAAGCCGGUGGAGUAACCUUUUAGGAGCUAGCCGUCGAAGGUGGGACAAAUGAUUGGGGUGAAGUCGUAACAAGGUAGCCGUAUCGGAAGGUGCGGCUGGAUCACCUCCUUUCUAAGGA
rnacentral:rRNA from 2 species